rnacentral:rRNA from 1 species
AUUGAACGCUGGCGGCAGGCCUAACACAUGCAAGUCGAACGGUAACAGGAAGAAGCUUGCUUCUUUGCUGACGAGUGGCGGACGGGUGAGUAAUGUCUGGGAAACUGCCUGAUGGAGGGGCAUAACUACUGGAAACGGUAGCUAAUACCGCAUAACGUCGCAAGACCAAAGAGGGGGACCUUCGGGCCUCUUGCCAUCGGAUGUGCCCAGAUGGGAUUAGCUAGUAGGUGGGGUAACGGCUCACCUAGGCGACGAUCCCUAGCUGGUCUGAGAGGAUGACCAGCCACACUGGAACUGAGACACGGUCCAGACUCCUACGGGAGGCAGCAGUGGGGAAUAUUGCACAAUGGGCGCAAGCCUGAUGCAGCCAUGCCGCGUGUAUGAAGAAGGCCUUCGGGUUGUAAAGUACUUUCAGCGGGGAGGAAGGGAGUAAAGUUAAUACCUUUGCUCAUUGACGUUACCCGCAGAAGAAGCACCGGCUAACUCCGUG